rnacentral:lncRNA from 1 species
GCUUUUAACGGCCAUCGGCCCCUCCCAGCCUGGACAAAGACACAGAACCCGGCCUGGGAGGCGGAGCUCUGCGGGCGGCCGGGGCCGCCCCCUUCCAGGCGCUGCUGCCGCAACACAGGCGGGCACUCUCUGCGGGUCCCGCGGCUCCCGCGGCUUGCGGCCUGCUCAGCGCCUCCAGAGGCCUCAGAUUUCAUUGGGGAUGCUACCUGAUCUCUCUUCAGCCUCAGUUUCCUCACCUGGACAGUGGAGCUGAACCCACUCCCCACUAUCUGACCCUGCUCUCUGGGCUGUCCUUCGGGAACCCGCCCUGCUCAGGCCUGCUCCCCACCCUCCAUGGCUGUCAGCCCCCCAGGAGAAGAAUGUCUGCCAUACGGAGGCUGCUGGCAGCAAAGGGAGAUGAACAAGCCAAGGUUGCCCGGCCUGCACGCUGGCCCAGGGCUGCUGCUGUGUCUUGCCAUCAACCCUCCCGACACCCAGCAUGCCUGCCUCGUCCAGAAGCACUCCUACGUCAGGCCUCUGAGGGGGAGCGCUUCAUGCCACUUUAUCAAAAGGGGAAACCAUCAAAGCAGAAAGGCCAAUGCCACACUAGACAGCC